UACAUUAGCCUUCACUAAAGCAAGAGUUGCUACAAUCCAGAAAUUUGUGUUAUCUGUAAGCACCCCUAGUAACAUUUCCCAUUGUUGUAAAGUUUAUGAGAACAUUAUUGCCUAGAUUCUCCACACUGCUUGCUCUGUGAAAAAAAUUAAUUCUAAUCUUCAGUUUGCAGAUGAACUCUUAAAAGAUGAGCCUUGGCAUAAAUCAGAAGGGGAUACCAGAAACACAAACACUGUGUGAGGGGGAAAAAAAAAAAAAAGGUCUGAAGAAGAUGAUCACAGCUGCCAAAACCACUGUAACACAAAACAUCAGAGAGAAGAAAGACACCCCUUUCAAGAAAAUAUUUCUGAAACACGUAGUAGCAUACAUCUCUUUGGGUCAAAGUGGCUUCUCACUUGGUGUUGACAUUCACUCAAAAACUAGACAACUGGCAUAAACAAGUUGCUACCAGUUUGGCAGCAUUUUUGAGUACUCAGCCAUUGCUUAGUGUGUGAACACGCUGUAACAGGAAGCCCAGGGCAGGAAAGAAGAAAAUGAUCAUAAAAAAACAUUGCAGCCAUUUCCUUCAUUACCUCUUCCCUGCAAUGCUGGUCACCAGGACAACCAUUUCAUCUUCUGCUCUUUCUGAUGCUGUUGCAGAGGUGAAAAAGCUUUCUCUCUUGCAGCUUGAAAAUUAACAAAAUGUCUUCAGCUUUUUGUGAAGAGAACAGAGGUGAUGGCCUAUGCAGAGUAUUCCUGGAUGUAAAAAAAGCAAAUCUAUCAUUGGGGCAAUAUGACUUGUGGUUUUGAGAGGGUACUGUUCUUCCUAGCACUUCUAAAUGCAACUUGUAUGAGUGAGUGGUCACUGGUUGUGCAGGGUUUAUGUGGCAGGGUUUUUGGUAGCAGGGGAGGGGGCUACAGUGGUGGCCCCUGGGAGAAGCUUCUCGAAGCUCUCCCCAGCUCCAAGUUGGGCCCACCUCUGGCCAAGGCCAAGCCAAUUAGUGGUGAUGGCUGCACCUCUGUGAUAAUGUAUUUAAGAAGGGGAACCUGAGAGCUGGAGACUUUGGGGAGGAGUUAUGAGGACAUCUAUGUGAACACUGAGGUCCCUGGAAGGAAGGAGGAGGGAAGGGGGCGAGGUGCACCGGAGCAAGGACCCGCUUACGUGUCAGAUGGCAGGGCCAUCCCCCUCCCUCUGACACCCAUGGAGGUCACCGGGGUAUCAGAUAUCUGCCUGGGGCCUGUGGAGGACCCCACACUGAGCAGGCAGCUGCACUAGGCUGGAGCUCUCUGAGAAGAAGCAGCCUCCUCUGUUGUAGUUCGGUACUGGGAGGAUUGCAGCAUGUGGGGGUGACUCACGCCGGAGCAUCUCGAGAACAAUGCUCUCAUGAUGGAGAAGGUUUGUGGAGCACUGUCUGCCGUGAGAGGGAUGCCACGUGGAGCAGGGGGAAGCUGGCUGGCGCACCCCACAUCCCCUGUCCCCUGGAGGAGGAGGUAGAGAUAUCGGGAACA